CUCCAGGAUACUCAAGUCUAGAAGUUUUGUGCUUGCUGACAACAUUCAACUUAGGAGUCUCAGAAUUGCCAGCCAGAAGGGGAAGAGUGACAUCUGCACUCAUUAACUGAUUACAGAAGGAGAUGAAGGCACACAGAACCACAAAGUAGGAAAAAAAGAAAUGGGACUGACAGAGGAACCAUCAAACUGAAUAACUACCUCAUCA